rnacentral:rRNA from 1 species
CUUCAUUUAGGGGCAAUUUCCAUUACCCCUACUGUGUUACGACUUAUCUCAUUUUUCAACGAGAGCGACGGGCGAUGUGUGCACGCCUCAGAGCCAAUUUGAUUCAGAUAGUUUUUAUAAUAUUAUCUUACUUUCAAGUCCUCCUUCAUAGCAUAUUUUCAUUUGCUUUAUUCGUAUUUAUAAAUAUUAAUUGUAACCCAUUCUCUCCUUUUUAUUGGCUGCACCUUGAUCUGACGUUAAAGAUAAAAUUCUCUUUUGCUAACUUCUAUAUUCUAAAAAGUUACCUGACGACGACGGUAUACAUACUGAAUUUCUCAAAAAAAGGUAAGGUUCAACGUGGAUUGUCGAUUAUGAAACAGGUUCCCCUGAGGGGUCUAAGGCACCGCCAAGUUCUUUGAGUUUUAAACUAAUGGUUCGUAGUACUCUGGUAGGGUUAUAGCCUAUUUAUGCCUAGGAAUAAUGGGGUAUCUAAUCCCAGUUUCCCUCCUAGAUUUCGUGGCUUCAAUUUCCAUUGUAUAUUUUAGUUUUAAGAUAUUUUUUGAAAUUUCACUUCUAUAAUACCCUUAAUAAAACAAUUUUUAAUUAAAAUUAACCACCUUUAUUACCUAAAAAUAACAACUUGGUCUCAAGGGUGUAACCGCGGCUGCUGGCACCCUGUUUACCAGGCCUAGAGACUAAACUAAAGCAUGCUUUCGCAUAAGUUUAAGGUUCGACACUGGUGUUAGUGAGGCUUUUAAGAUAUUGUUUCAAGUAUAAUAUCUUGAGUUUGGAAAUAUCGUUAAGACCUUUAGUCAACAAAUAAAUCUAUUACUCCCUCACUUUUUUCUAAAAAAACCAUGUGUAAUCUUUCGUCUGCAUUGUUAAUAGAGAUCAGAACCAAGUCUUUUAUAGAGAAAAUAAUUGCUUAAAUAUUUAUAUCGAUUUUUAUUAUUGUCAUCAAGACCUUUAUAAG